rnacentral:rRNA from 1 species
CUACAUAUCAAUAAGCGGAGGAAAAGAAACCAACAGGGAUUGCCCCAGUAACGGCGAGUGAAGCGGCAACAGCUCAAAUUUGAAAUCUGGCCUCCGGGUCCGAGUUGUAAUUUGUAGAGGAUGCUUUUGGCGAGGUGCCUUCCGAGUUCCCUGGAACGGGACGCCAUAGAGGGUGAGAGCCCCGUCUGGUCGGACACCGAGCCUCUGUAAAGCUCCUUCGACGAGUCGAGUAGUUUGGGAAUGCUGCUCAAAAUGGGAGGUAUAUGUCUUCUAAAGCUAAAUAUUGGCCAGAGACCGAUAGCGCACAAGUAGAGUGAUCGAAAGAUGAAAAGCACUUUGAAAAGAGGGUUAAAAAGUACGUGAAAUUGUUGAAAGGGAAGCGCCUAUGACCAGACUUGGGCCCGGUGAAUCAUCCAGCGUUCUCGCUGGUGCACUUUGCCGGGCACAGGCCAGCAUCAGUUUGGCGCGGGGGAAAAAGGUUUUGGGAAUGUGGCUCCCUCGGGAGUGUUAUAGCCCAUUGCGUAAUACCCUGCGCCGGACUGAGGUACGCGCAUCGCAAGGAUGCUGGCGUAAUGGUCAUCAGCGACCCGUCUUGAAACACGGACCAAGGAGUCGUCUUCGUAUGCGAGUGUUCGGGUGUCAAACCCCUACGCGUAAUGAAAGUGAACGCAGGUGAGAGCUUCGGCGCAUCAUCGACCGAUCCUGAUGUUCUCGGAUGGAUUUGAGUAAGAGCAUACGGGGCCGGACCCGAAAGAAAGUGAACUAUGCCUGUAUAGGGUGAAGCCAGAGGAAACUCUGGUGGAGGCUCGCAGCGGUUCUGACGUGCGAAUCGAUCGUCAAAUAUGGGCAUGGGGGCGAAGACUAAUCGAACCUUCUAGUAGCUGGGUUUCCGCGA